CAGACCCUCAAGAUUGCCAUGGGCAAGUCCUUUGAUUGGUACAAGGAAGGGUUGGAGAACAACCUGAAGGUAAUUAGCUUUGCACAAAAAGCAGCAUCCAGGCCUCCACCCAGUACGGACGGGAGCCGCAGCUGUUGACUGAGAUCACUGAAACCCCACCUGAUGUGGUGAAAGUUGUCGAACCAGAUCAGAACACUUUCGAGGACCACCUUCAGGCACGGACUGAGAAGGAUGUGGAAGUUUUUGACCAGGUGAAACUGAACAUGGACAAGGCGCAGGAGGAACAGAAUGAGAGCUACCGUAGCAGAAUCAAGGAGACCAAGUGCUAUGACAUCCGGGCAAAUGACUUGGCUUCGUUGGUGGAACCUCGUUGGUGGAAGCCAACAAUCUUCUACAGUUGGAGCAGUUGGACGGUCGACCACUGAAAGCACUGACACCCUACACUUCAGUGAAGCCCAAUAAACAAAG